UUCACAAGGGCAGGACUGUGACCUGCUGAUAGCCAUGUGAACCUUUCACCACGGUUCAUGUGCAUGGAAGGUGCUAGAAAGUAGCCAUCAAAUGAAGGACAAGGAGAAUGGCUAGGGACAGCUCUGCCAACAUCAUCUUGCUUUAGUGACGACAAAACUAAAAAAUGGUGGGCUCUCAUGCUGCCCAUACAUUCAACAGACAAGAGCCAAGUACUGGGCUGGCUGGGGAAGUCCAGAGAAGAACAUCAUUGCUGACCUCAAGAAGCUAAGGCCCUAGAAGGGAAGAGAGGGGAGUAAACACCUGCCAUGGAAGGUGCCAAGGGCUACAGUAGGCAUGUCACCAGCAGGAUAUGAGGAUUCACCUUCAGCUCCCUGUGUGCUUAUUGUGGGGAGAGCCCAAGGUGAAGGGUAAAGACAAAGGGGUGGGAAACUGCCAGAGGAGGCUUCCUGCAGUGCCUGGGGCCUGAGCCGAGGCAUGGAGGUCACAGUGGAGCUGGCCAGGUUGAGAUGGCACACUCUGGACUCUCUGACUUGAUGAUUGGAAGAUGCUGGUUCUGCAUCUGCACUGAGAUACUUAUGAUAAGGGUAAACAAAAAUCCCCUAAACAGGGAAUCAGAUGGUACCAGGAGCGAAAAGGCCCAACCCUGCUUGCCAGGAAAGACCAAACCCCAAUCACUGGAAAACACCACCAUUCCUUCCCCUAAAGCCAAAGCUUCUCCAUGUGAAGGGGAGGAUGGUAAGCCCCCCUGUGUGUGUUACACGUGGUCCAGGCAGAAAGUGCUGUGUCCAUUGCUUGCCCAUCCCCUGGGCCUGGCCUUCACAGUAUCUGGGAUCUGUUUAGGGGGCAGCCCCAUUUACUUGCAGUUCGCCAGUCACAUGCUGCAGCACAGAUCCAUUCCCCUCCACCUGCCUGCCACCCACACCGACAGGAGAUGAGAUGGGAAGUAAUGGGCCUUCCUCUUGCCUCCCAUAUGAGCACUUGAAGUUAAUCCGUAUCUGGGCCUCAUGACUCAACACAUUAUUCUGUGUAUGUACUUUAUUGCAGACUAAUGGUUCUAAUAAAAUUAGUGCCAUCCCACAUUAUUGGUUCAAAAUUAGAAUUACAUGAACAAAACAGAUACAAUCUUGCCCAGUCUUAUAGGGCUAAACCAUGGACCCAACUGCAACAUUUCUUCCUUUCUUACUUCUGUAGUUUCAUUUUAGGUUGUCUUCAAGACUUUAAACGAACAAGACUUAUUUCAACUGGAUUUUCCUAAAGUUCUUAGGUAGGGUGAGUAUCUAAUUCAGCACGAAAACUGGGACAAUCAUGAGAGUGAAAGGCAGACUAUUAUUAGUUAAGCCAGGACAAUAGCAUAUGCCAGAGCUGCCACAGGCUAACUGUGACAGGUGGGUGGUCACCCUAUUUUUAGGGGCAGGCUGACCCUCUUCAAUAGUCAUCAAUUAGUCUUGCUAAGUAAUGCUGCUUUUUCUGAUUGCUUUUUUUUUAAAAAAAAAAUAAAACAAAACAUUAAUUUGGGGGCAAUUAUCUCAACAAAUUUGAGAAGUUAAAAGGAGAAGCAAAGAUAUAUUUACAUCCAGACAUAUGUGAUUGCUUGGGACUUCCUUUGAUGUGAAACUUGUAAAGUAUAAGGGGAAAUCUGGGCUGGCAUUUCUUUACUGUAUACUUGUGACCUGGAUCAAAAUAUGAAAAUGUACUUUGAGUCAGAUUUGAGCAAAUGGAAACUUCACCCUUUGGCUUGAAGACAGACUGUACAUCAGUAAAUCUCAGGCUGUUUUUCCAGGAAAUGACCCUCACUUAGAAACAUCCAGGUGUUAUCCAGGGAGCCUGACCUUGACUCCAUGUUAAUUCAAAUGAAACUCGCUGUCUAGUAUUCCUGCCUUCAACGCUGUCACCUGCCAUCCAUUCCACAUUCUCGGCUAGCCAAGGAGUGGUUUUCCAUAUGAAAGCAUGAGAUAUUCUGCUUUCUGUUUUGCCAGUGAUCAUGAAACAUGUGAACCUGAGGCAAAAAAGUCAAGUGCUGUACCUUUGGUCCUUAAAGCAGCUGUGAUUUCUCCAAAUGUGAGGGCUGCAUCUAAAAGCAUGCUAUGACCCCACUACCAUGGCACAGGUUUCCGUGAAGACCCACUGUGAUAAUAUACAGGACAGGGACAGAUUUUGCCAACUGUAAAACACCAUAACAAUAUGAGUUAUUUUUCUUGUUUCAGUGUUCCCUGGAUGGAGUUGAAAUAUUUUGGCAAUCACAGAUUGAACUGUAGAUAUCUUGCCCCAUGAAUGAUGAACUGUGUUUUAACAAGGCAAUACUCCACUGAGAUGUAGGUUGCAUAUUUCUCUGUCAGAGCAGCCCACACUGAGCAAAGUAGACAGGGGUCUCGAGUUAGGAUGUGUGUGGAGUCCUGGUGAGCUCUAGAGAAUAAACAACUGAUAAGAAGGAAGAAAGAGAAGGUGGGAAGGGAAAAAAAAAAGGAGGGAGGGAGUGGUGGGAGAACAAGGGAGGUACAGGGAGGGAAGGGAAAAAAGAAAAAGAAAAAAGAACAAGAGAAAGAAAGAAAGGAAAGAUUCCACAAGAACUCCUGAUGGUUUCAACAGCACGAUUUGCAAUUCAUCCUAAGGGAGCUGUGGCACCCACCCAUCCACUACCAUCCAAGGGAAAAAUCUUAUUAGAAUGUGGUCAUCUUUCUCCUCAAAAUAACAAGACAGAAAAUGGCAGGUGAAUUGGAAUUACACUCCCACCUCGCAGUGUGUGGGUGAGAUUUGAUUUCUGUCCACCAUGUGUGUGGUGGGCCUUGGGCACCCAAGGCUGGCAUCCACACUGACAUAGACUGAAGACCCCAAUAGGAAGAUGGCUUAGGAUUGGGAUGGAGCCAGGAGCCUUGGGAUGGAGCCGGGAGCCUCGGGAUGGAGCUGGGAGCCUCCUGCAAGGAGAUGCUGAUAAAACAAACCUUCAUCAGGGCAUCGUCUUUUAUCAAGAUUGUUCUUCCUCCUGUCUCACAACAAGCCUGUCCUUGUUGCGUGUGUGUGCGUGUGGAGGGGUGGGUGUGUGCUGCCAAGUGGGUGCAUGCCUCUGUGUGUGCUUGAUGUCUCAUCUGGUGUGAUUAAGGGAGAAAAGGGGUGGGGGACUGUUCUUUGUUUAUUUUGCAGAUAAAUCUCAUCUUUAAUCUGGAUGCAUAGCAAUGUCUUGUGCAAAGGAAAGGAAGCCCCCUACGCCACCCCUUGACAUCCAUAUAAAUCACAGGUUUUAUUCCUCUGCUGUGAGGGGACAUUGCAGAAUGGAGCAACGUUGCAGACUCUCAUUGGGUGAUGCUUCAUUACUUGGUGGAAAAUCCCCAGGGCCAAAACGUUAUUUAAAUGUGCUAUGAAAAUAAAUGUGAUUUAUAUAUGUGUCGUCUGCUGAGACGUUCUUCUCUGUUACUGCAGGUGCUGUCGUGCAUCAGGAUUAGCGCCUCAAUUUAUCGCCAGUUCAAGCUACACACAUGCUCCAUGACAGGAUGUUGUCCGCAUCCUCGAAAGUUCCAGGAAGGAGAUGGUGUUGGCUGAGUGGUGGGCUUUAGAUAUUCAGCAGUAUGGUUGACUUUUAUGGGCUGAGAAUGUGUGUGCGUGUGAGCACAUGCGUGCUUGUGCAUGCUGGUGUGGAGCCUGGGCCACUGUUUUGUUUGAAAGACGCAGGGAACAGACACUUUGUACUCAUAUGCAUCAAUUUCCAAUGGCAGCAGAUUGCUGUUUCUGGUUCAAAGAUAAAGAAGAAAGCGAAAUCUUCAUUUCAUCUCAGGACUGGGGCCCACAUGUUUAGCUCAAAGUGAGUGGAAAUCUCUGAAAAGCAGGUUUGGGCUAAUGAAUGUCAGCAGGCCUUCAAUGUAAAUGGGAUUUGAUUAGCAGGAAGGAGUGUGGUUGGGAUAUUUCCAUUACCAAAGAAAGGUAGAGAAGCCAAGGCUUGUCUUAAGGGGAUGAAGAAGGUCCCUCCAGCUGCCCAAGUAGAGCCUGUUCCAGUGGGCUUUCACAGAUGCUCCAAAAACAUGGGGCUAACCUUGGCUUCUACCAUAUGCCAUGGGGCACCAGACCAUUGCUCCAGACAAGUAAACUUGAGGUCCGAGGAGGUGGCAGAGCUUCGACCAGACACCACGAACAGAAUACUCCACAACACAAAACAUGCCACAUCAGUCCUCACCGUUGCCUUGCCUCUGUGCCCUUCAUUUUAAAGAUGACAAAACUGAGGCCCACAGAGGUCAAUAUCCCACAGUUGAACUCUUCAUACCUGGAGAAUCCAGGUCUUCUGCUUCUGGAAUCCUUCCUCAGGCAUUCUUUUAACUGGUAGCAACUCGUGUCUUGCCAGUCUUGUCUCUAGCUCCCCUGCUCUGUUUUUCUUCAAGAUUAAGGGUUCUAAGUGAUAUCUAAAGUAGGACCUAUCUAGAAAAAAGACCUAUAUAAAAUUCCUUUUAGAUUGAAGUGGGGAAGCAAACAAAGGAACUUACAGAUACACUCUAUAUUAGGCUGUUAUUUGAAAUAAACAACAGUAACUCUGUAGCACUAAUGGGAAGCCUUAAAAAAAACCUUUUUAUUUUGAAAUAAUUUCAAAUCCACAUAAAAAUUUCAAAAAUACUGCAAAAAGUUCCUGUACAUGUUUCAUCAGCUUCUUUCAAUUUGCUGUGUUUGCUUUAUCAUUAUCUGGGUAUGUGUGCCUGUGUGCAUGUGUGUGUUAUUUUCUGAAUGGUUUGGGAGUACACUGUACACAUUCUACCCCUUUAUCCCUAAAUACAUCAGUACACAUUUCCUAAAUUCAUUCAUACAACCACAGUGCAGUUAUCAAAUCCAAAAAAUUAACAUUACAAUAGUAUUAUUAUUUAACUUACAGACCUUGUUUGAAUUUCAGUAAAUGUCCUACUGAUGUCCUUUCUAGCAAAAAAAAAAAAAAAAAAAAUUGUUUUCCACUUACUUUGGGAUUAUGUGAAAUUCAUGUCUCGUGUCUCAUUUAUGGGGACUUAUGUGAGAGGGUUGAGUGUGCUAAAGUUUUAGGCUGUUAAACUAAAAACUAAACAUUACCUUAAAAAUACAUAUAUGUUAUAUCUGUAGUAUCUUCACCUUGAUAAUUCUUCUUUGAUAAUUAUAAUUAAACAUCCAUAAUGGGAAAAUUCAAAACCUUUUUAUCUGUGAACCAAAAAAUAAAACCAGAUUCUGCAUUCCUUGUGCAUUU